rnacentral:misc_RNA from 1 species
CCAAUAGCGUAUAUUAAAGUUGUUGCAGUUAAAAAGCUCGUAGUUGAAUUUCGGGAUCAAUUUGUUGGUCGUGCCUCGGUACGUACUGGCAUUAUUGGUUUCUACCUUCUGAAGAACCUUGAUGUCAUUAAUUUGGUGUCUUGGGGAAUCAGGACUGUUACUUUGAAAAAAUUAGAGUGUUUAAAGCAGGCAUACGCUUGAAUACAUUAGCAUGGAAUAAUGAAAUAGGACGUUUGAUUCUAUUUUGUUGGUUUCUAGGAUCGACGUAAUGAUUAAUAGGGAUAGUUGGGGGCAUUAGUAUUCAAUUGUCAGAGGUGAAAUUCUUGGAUUUAUUGAAGACUAACUACUGCGAAAGCAUUUGCCAAGGAUGUUUUCAUUAAUCAAGAACGAAAGUUAGGGGAUCGAAGACGAUCAGAUACCGUCGUAGUCUUAACCAUAAACUAUGCCGACUAGGGAUCGGAUGAUGUUAUUUUUAAUGACUCAUUCGGCGCCUUACGGGAAACCAAAGUGUUGGGUUC